UACAGAGGUCUCAAGCGUUGUUCGGAUUCAUUGGGCGUAAAGGGUGCGUAGGUGGCGCUGUAAGUCGGGUGUGAAAUUUCGGAGCUUAACUCCGAAAUUGCAUUCGAUACUGCCGUGCUCGAGGACUGGAGAGGAGACUGGAAUUCAUGGUGUAGCAGUGAAAUGCGUAGAGAUCAUGAGGAAGACCAGUGGCGAAGGCGGGUCUCUGGACAGUUCCUGACACUGAGGCACGAAGGCCAGGGGGGCAAACGGG
rnacentral:rRNA from 1 species